rnacentral:lncRNA from 1 species
UCAUUUCUUCCAUAUCAUUUCUGCUUUAUUUGGCUCCAAGGACAUUUCUAUGUGUAGUUGUUUUGUUGUAGUAACAAUAAACUGCAGUUGGUUGUAGUUGUUUGAAGUAAUGAAAUGGCGUUUGAUUGCUACUUCCAUAGUUCUAUUAGUCUGUUAUAUUUGGCAAAAAACAAUUCCCUUUGUCAUGGUUAAGUGAACUUUCUAUUGCUUAGUACAACAGUAUAGUACUAUAGUGGCUCAUUCUAAAACAAUGGGUAAGAACUAAGAAGAUUUGCUGUAACACUAAAAUUGAAAAUAAAACUAAAACAUAGUAACAUACUUGUAAUUGUAAAAUUAGAGUGAAGCAUAUAUUUUACCUUUAGAACAUGUAGUCAUACUUUAGUUUGUUGCCUAUUUUAAGAAAUAAAUGCUAUAUGGACAUGUUUGCAGCACAUUUUGUUUACAUGUUUGAUGUGCCUCUCUGUUCCACCUCCUGAGUUCUUGCCUGGGUAUUUUGAAUCUGUAGAGUGGCUAACAACUGUUGAAUGUGUUUUUUAAUUGUUAAAUUUUGCUGUUUUUUUAAAGCUUACUUGUAGGUUUCCAUUUCUUUUAUAGUUAUUUCUAUUAGCAUUUAAUGAUUUACAAUGGACCCUCCCUCUUAGUAACUAAUUUCCUCAAGUUUGUAGAGAUUUUCUUUUACCUUUUUCUGUUGAGAGCUUGUAUUUGAGGUUUACUGUGUUUAGGUGAUCUCACCCUAUGGGUGUUGUUACUGUUCCUUGCAUAUAGUUGUUACUGCUUUGCUAUUCAUUGCCAUGUUUCUCCACCUAUUUUUUCGUUUUAUUACCGCUUGGAGUUGCUUGAGCUGAGGGUCUUUCGGAAACAGCCUCUCUACCUCUCCGAGGUAGUGGAAAGACUGCGUACACUCUACCCUCCCAGACCCCACUUUGUGGGAUUUCACUUGGUAUGUUGAUGUUGAGAGCUUGUAUAGAGGUUAAGUAUCCUUUGCGGUUGUAUUAAAUCAUUUGCCUUGUCUCUUUACAGGCUGCUAACUAUUUAAACAUAAAGAGCUUGCUAGAUCUGACAUGUCAGACAGUAGCAGACAUGAUUAAGGGAAAGACGCCUGAGGAGAUACGCAAGACGUUCAACAUCAAGAAUGACUUCACUCCUGAGGAAGAGGAAGAAGUCAGGAGGGAGAAUGCCUGGGCAUUCGAGUGAAUUUGAGUCUGUUAAGCGUCCAUAUCUGUAGAUAGAUCUGCAAUAUACUUUAGUAGAUGCUAUGAAUAACUUAUAUUAGUAAGUGUGUGACUGUUGUUUCUCGGACCUUCUGGCUUUGGCUGUUGAACCUCUUUUUCUCUGUUAUGCCAUGGUUUCUUGGUAGCCGAUGUCCAUAUUCAUUGAUCUAUUAUUGGAAAUUCAUAUUGUUUCUUGUGUUUAUCAUCACUGGUGCAUUUAGCUUCUUUACUCUUUACUUAAAUGUAAAGGUCAAUUCCUUGGCUUGUGCAAUGGUUUGGUUGUGUUGUUUUCUGUCACAAAAGGAUGUCAGACUAGAGAGUGUAUGUGAGUAGUCUUACAUGGGCAUGGUAUUUGAAGGCACAUAAUGGCCUAGGAUUUGUAGGUUCUUACCUUGAAUCCCGCUUUAGACAGACUCAGUUGAGAGUUUGAGUGUCACUAAGAGAUGGAGAAGUCCACUUUGGUGGGUGAUACAGUGUGAUGGCCUUGGUCCAAUGAGUAGUGCAUUAUUAGAAGAACCAAUAUUUAUCAUAAAUAAGAGCUGUAUAUGUGAAGUUUGACCUUCAUAUCUUAUUCACGAUAAUUUCUUCUCUGAUUUUUUUCCUCAUUAAACGGCUGCACAACUAUACUUGGGUGUGGCAGGAUAAUUUGUUUGGUCUUAUGUUUCACUGUUCUUAUUAUGUGAUUAUUUCCAUGACAUGUUUGUUUCAGUCGGAUCUGGGCAACGUUACCUGUUGUGGCAGGAUGACUGGCCAGACCUUGUAUUCCUGUUGUUGUUUACACGACAUUAUGUCCCUGUUGGUUGAAGCUGUUGGUUGAAGGUAGCUGGUAUGGAAAUAUAUUUGCAAUUUUGCCAAUGUAGUUCGGUGAGUGAUGGUCAUUUUCUUUUUAAAAAUAAAAAUAAAAAUAAAAUCAUAAAAUUAUGAAUGGGCUAUGAGGAGAUCCUUUUCGUCAUUUAAAUAUGCGGCUAAUACAUGAACAAAGAAGAAAAAAAUAAUAAUACUCCAAACAGAGUAUACUCCAAGAUCAAAUGGUUCCGGCUAGUGACAUUAUGCGAAUGAAAAAUGGUUCUGCCAGGUGUUGAUUAUUGUGAUUUGAUGAACUUGACACAUGAGAUUGAUCUAUUUGAUACUUGUGAUUGAUCUACUUGAUACAUGCGAUAUAUUCAUUUGAUACUUGUGAUGGAUAUUCUUUAUCCUUGUUCGUUGUUGAACUCUGACUAUUGGAUUGUGAUUGUUAACCCUUGUGAAUUGUGUAUUGUGAAACUGUUAGAUUGGGUUGAUUUUUUGCAGGUUAUAGUUUGAGGAGGUUUGGUUGGGAUGAAUGGAGUACUUGUAUUCUAGCUAAUUUUGUCUUGUUUAUUUGGUUACUUAUUGAGUACCGUAUUGUUUGGUACUCACUCCUCAUUUUUACACUUGUGUAGGUUCUAAGUCUGGAGCCAUGUGAUUGUUCUUCUUCUGGUUACAUCUGAGGAAACAUUGAGAAGUAGUUGCUUGUCAUCUGGCGGGCCCUCUUGUUUCUUGUUUUAUAUUUUGUUCUAUUUGAGAAAUAAAGACAUUGAGACUUGUAAUUAUCUUUCAAUUUCGCACUUUAUACAUUAGUGGCUUGUACACGUGACAAUUAGUUUUGGAGGUUAUAUUAGAAUGAAUAAGUUUUCCACUCUUAUGUUAUUCUUGUUUUACUUUUCACAUAUUUUUGUUUCGUUGGGUUGAGGCUGACUUGUCUUGAUGGAAAUACACGAGUGUCAUUACGCCCAUUUUUGGAUCGUGACAAUCUCUAUCGAUUGUUGUGAUUUUUGACCUGCUUUCUAAAAAAAUGAAAAAAGGAAGAUAUGGGCAGUAAUUAAAACAGAAAUCAACUUGUGGCUAAAACUUACCCUUGAAAGCAAACAAAUAUGGACACUUCAUUGAAAGCUUGAAAAAAAAUGGAUUAUCACAUUUCUAAAGAAAGAAAGAAGGAAUGAUCUUCGAUGUACAUAUAGAUAUACUUUUUUAAAAAUAUUAUAAUGUAAGUGUAAUUGGUAAUGACUUUACUAAUUGAUGGCUAAAGAUUAAAAUAUCCUUUUACUUUCCUCAAUGGACUUCUAACGCACAUGUUAAAACUAGAAGUGUUCACAGGUCUAUUUAGAUUAGUUAUUGUUCAAAAUCAAAAUCAAAUCAAUUUAAUUAGUUUUUAAAUUAUUAAAAUCAAAUCAAAACUAAAUAAUUAAUAUAUAUAUAGUUCGAUUAUUAAUAAUACACUAAAAUAAAAUAAACGAUUCAUAGAGAAAAAACGACAACAAUGCAUUUGAAAGGAAUAAAUUGUUUUCGUGUCAUUUUAUAAUUCUUAUACCAGAACUACAAUUAUGUUAACUUCCUGCUUAUAUUGUUAACUAAUCCACUGUACUAUAACAACAACAACAAUAUCAUUCCCAUUGAAAUGCGCACACCUUACUACGGUUUCCAAAAGACCCCCUCCUCAAGUGUAUCGAACCCAUGGAAAAGAUGGAGAAAACAUGAGACAUAAAAUCGUAGCAAUAGUAAAAUGUAAUGAUAAUUGAAAUGCAAUAAACAACAAAUGGAAAGAACUAUUAGGGCACGACUGGUCCUAAGAAAUACAUUAUACCUCUACAUGACAAGACACCACUCUAACCCCUACUAGCCUUUUACCCUAAUACGCGUCUCUAGUUCUUCAUAUCUAAAGUCAUGUCCUAAGUAAUAUGAAGCUGCAACAUGUCAUUUUUACCCCUUACUAGCCUUCUACCCUAAUACGUACCCUUCCAAUUCAGUUUAACCAUCAUUCGGGGACGGAUGAUCCCACGGGAAAGAUGUAAAACCCCAAAAAUUCUAACACAAAUCUUAUCUUGAAAAUUUCUGUAGUCUGAUGGGCCCGUAGAAGUAUCUACAAACCAUAGACAGAUUCGUAGAACCGGGUCCUUGAAAGUUGGUUAUCAAGUCUAAGUUUCACGAACCAGACUACGGGUCGUAUAAGUUCCUACGGUCUCAUGGAAACUAAAUCCUGAAGAACACUCCCAGUAAGGUUCCUACAAAAGAGAAGGACAACCCAUCAAAGUUUCUAUGGGCCGUAGAAAGGGUCCUCAAUCCCCAACUUCAGGAAUCUAGAAAACUCAACAUGUUCCUAUGAGAGGGUCUACGACUCAUAGACUUUUGUACGGACCAUAAAUGGCCUUCCGUAGACGACUCCAGUCAGUUUUUAAGAGGGGUUAUUUUUCUCACUCUUUUUAAAUCUGAACCCCGAAGUUUUUACACCUAAUUAAUGUCACAAGAAUCCCUAGCACAAAAUUGAUUUGGAAGCUUCCUUACCAAUUAAGUUUUGAUAUAAGAUUCUACUUAGAUCAACUUCAAAUAACUAUAUCUCUUAGAUUAUGAAAAUUUAGGGGCUCAUAACCAUUUAGAUUAAAGUUAUUUGAGUCUUAUUUCCAAUACCACCAAUUUUACAUCAAUCAUAGUUUUGAGUAAUUAGUUAUGAUCAUUUUACUAACCUGAUACAGUACAAUGACGAAAUAGCCAACGGGGAAAUACUAAAAAGGAUCAUUUUUGUCUUUUUACCACAACACACCCUAAACAAAAAAUUUGACUCCUAAAAACCUCUAAACAAUCAGAUUUUCAUCUCUUAAUUCUCCAUUCUCUUCUCUCUCAAACUCCAAGGUAAAAUCCUAAGGAAAAUCAAAGCAUAAGACUUCCAUGCAAGAUUCUUUCGAAUCUUUUUCAAGAUUCUUCUUCAAGGUAAGUCUUUCUCCAAGAAUUUUAUUCUUUCAAACUCAAAUUCAUUCAUACAAUUAUGAAUCAUCAAUGAAAAUCUUAGUUCUUGGCCAUAGGGUUUCAAGAAACUAAUUCAAGAAUCUCAAGAAAGGUUUUCUUGAUCAUUCUUCUUCAAGCUAGGGUUUCAAACUUCAUCAAGAACUUUAUUUUUUCCAGGUAUGUAAGGUUAUUCAUAGUGUUGGAAUAGUUCGUCCUCAUGUCUUUCAUCUCAAUUCUAUUAGUGAAACGUUAUGUUUAGAGCAUUAUCAACAAUUUUUUUAAAAUUAAAAUUCAGUUGUGUUUCUUUUCUGAGUUUCAAUUCCUUAACCGUUGAGAUUCUGAUUUCUAUUAUGUAUAUUGAUUCUAAUUUUUUGUUUAUAUUUUGUAUCAUAUGAACCCUAUUUGUUUAUAAAAAUUACUAUAUGAGAUUUCUUAUACAUUAAUUUUGGACUUUAUAGGUAAGUCCAUAAGUAUAUGUUUUAAAUGCAUGUUUGGAAAAGAGUUUUUAAAGAAAGGAUCAAAUGAUUUCAUAUGUUUUAUUUGACAGUUCAGAAAGAGAAAGAAUAUAAUUGAUUUUUUGAAAAGUACUUCGGUAAAGAAAAAUAAAAGUAAAGUAAAGUAAUAGUCUCUUUUUCACUCAAUGUCCCAUAAAACUACGUAGCCAACGUACAGAUGGUUUUCACUACUUGUUCAUAUAUUGUUUUGCUUGAUAUGUAUUUAGUCAUCAAUUAUGUUAUUGUUUUAUUCAGUCAUAUUACACACUUGUAUAUUCAAUAUAUUGAUGUCAUUCGAUCUACAUCUUUUGAUGAUGCAGAUUCAAAUAUUUACGGUCAUCAACAGAUGUUCCGUUGACUUCAUCUACUCGUCAGCUUCUGGUGAGACCUCUCUGAUUUCUGAGGACUCCAUUUUUAUUGCUCUAUAAUAUUAGGAUUUUAAGGUGUUGUGGGUCUUGUCCCGAUACCAAUCUUUAGAUAGUAGAGACUUCAUGGGCAAACAGAGUUAGACGGUUUUCACUAUUUUACUUGGAUGUUUUACUAAACACUUAAGGGUCGUUUGGUAGAAUGUAUUAGGAAAAAUAACGCAUGCAUUAGCAUUGUGUAUUACUAGUACCUUGUUUGGUACUCUUUUCCAACCUAUGUAUAACUAAUGCUUGCAUUAGUUAUACACUCUAUUGUGUAUUAAUGUGUGUAUUGUUAAUGCCAUGAAUUUCUAGGUAUUAGCAAUGCAACGGUUUUAAUGCAUGCAUUAGAUUAUUAUUAUUAUAUUUAUUAUAAUUAUUAUUAUUAUAAUAAUUAUAAUUAUUAUUAUUAUAAUUAUUAUUAUUAUAAUUAUUCUUAUUAUUAUUAUUAUUCUUAUUAUUAUAAUUAUUAUUAUUUAUUAUAAUAAUAAUAAUUAUUAUUAUUAUAUUUAUUAUAAUUAUUAUUAUAAUAAUUAUUAUUAUAAUUAUGAUAAUAAUUAUAAUUAUUAUUAUUAUUAUUAUUAUUAGAGGGUAGUUUUGUCAUUAGUUAAUCUAAUGCAUGCAUUAAAACCAUUGCAUUGCUAAUACCUAGAAAUUCAUGGCAUUAACAUAAUAAUAAUAAUGUGGGGGUAUUUUUGUAAACAAAUAUUUUUUAAUAGUCUUUAUACAAGGCUUGCUAUUUCCAAUACAUCAAACCAAACAAUGUAUAAGAAAUAAUGCAAGCAUAACUAAUGCAUGCAUUACUAAUACAUCAUAUUCAACAUUAUUCUUAUACACUCUACCAAACGACCCCUUACUAUUUAUAUUAAGUAUUUUCAGACAUUGUUUUAAAAGUUCUUUAAAUAUUUUAAAUGCUCAUCUAUUAAAGCUUCCGCGUAUUCUAUUGAGUCAUAUGUGUCAUAGUCAGACAUGUCAAGUAUUUGCUUGCGGACCAGCAAUGAUUCUCGAGUGUCGGUCAUGUCCAAGGUGUAGGCUCAAGGCAUGAAAAUAAGACACAACUUCCACCAUAAGGAAAGAUGAGUAGAAGUUGUUAGGGAUCAUCAUCUUCUUCACCUAUGAAAUAUUAACUGAAUACCUACAACCAAACUAUAUCAAGUGGCAUAGCAAGAGUAGUAUUAGUACGAACAACACGUACUGGCAGGCAUCCAAACCCACCACAUAAUAUAAAGUAGACACCACCCAAAGUCUCUAUCCACGUGCUUCUACCAUCUCAGAUAUAAUACCUAUAAACUAGUAUACUUGAACCCAACCUUGUACCUCAUUAUUCUGCUAUCAACUUUGAUGUUUCCUAAGCUAGCCUUUUAUGUCACUUUAACACUUUCCAAAUUUGUCUGUGAUGUCACCCUAAUAUCAUAUCAUAAUAUAACCCUACUAUCACAUAGAGAUUACCGAAUACAAGGCCACCACUAAUGUCAAAUCAUAGACUAACCUUUCUACCACAUAAUGUCCACGAACAUAAGGUCAUCACUAGCCAUAUCAAUCAACUUGCUUGUCCUUCUAGGAAAGUACAUGACACUAGCGCAUUAGACCAACUCAUCUCUCUUGACUCACAUCCCCAUUAUCAAAUAAGUUCUAAAAAAUUAGACAACCAUGAUCAAUCACAUCACUUAACCAUAUACCAGUGUUGAACUUAACAACCACCAUUUCAAUAAAUCAAUCACAUCAUGAUAAAUAGAAAUUGAGUUUAGAAAUAAAUAAAGCAUUGAGACCUCAUAAACUUAACUCAAUAGUUAAAAUAACUAUGCAGAAUAACACCUAAGGAUUCAUUAUCAAUAAACAUUAAUUAUACCUCAACUAUCAUAAGUAACACAUAAUUUGGACUCUCAAUCCUCACCUUAGAUUUAUAUGCAUAACCCGCAAUACCAUAACCACAUGUAACAACAAUGGAGAAUAUGUAGGCUCUCAGCCACAAUAUCAUGAACAAUAACAUUUGGGUCAAACAAUGCAUAACUACAUGUCUCACCUGAUCACAAUGUAAUUAUUGGGCCCCCUCAUGAAAUCACAAUCACAUACAUGGUCCUCUCACGGAAUUCAAACUCAAGCUAUUAGUAUACCGACAUGGUACCCAAGCCAUCUAUAGUUAGUGUAUCAGUAUGGUGUCUAAAUCAUUCAUAGUUAGUGUACCUGCGUGGUACUUGAGUCAACCAACAAUCACGCAUAAUCACAUAGCGCAAUGGACAAGACCACUUGAAAAUCACAAAUCACAAUCACAAGUUCAUUGCAUGAGAUGACCAACAUGAUGUCAUUGCCUCCCUACCAUGCAUUGCAAAAAUGUUACUACAAGUAGUAAACAUGCAUACAUACUUAAAUCAGAAACAUACAACCAACACCUACAUGGGUAUAUCAAUAGCCUAACACUAGAUCCCUUUUUAUGAACACACAUUCGUUUUCUUGAUUAUCACAACCUUAGAAAUGGUUAUAACCUAACAAUAUCAUAACACUUAAUCUUACCAUUAACACCAAAUCACCCUUAAGAAAACUCAAGACUAACAAUCGAGAACUAGAGAACCACCGGUUUUCCUUAGUCAUUAUCUUUUCUUGCCCUGACAUCAAUAAAUAACAACAUUUAGUCAUCUAAACUCCAUACCCAAAGGUUUAGUCCCAUCAAUCCACAAAAUACCAUGCAGUAGUUAAGAAAACAUGUCUAACUACUCAAUUAAGGAAACCUAGCCUACCUGGGUGCCAAACAAUUGUUGUAGAAGUCUGAUCGCGAAUCUUUAACCCUUUGUAAAGCGUUAGCUUGUUCUUAGUCUAAAAUAACAAAUACAACACAACAUUCAAUCAAACAAUGACCUAAUAACUCCCGGAUUGCAACUAAAUCCUAACCCCCAAGCCAAUAUAUGAUCAUCUUCCCCAACUUAGGACUUUUUCCACCAUGAAAUUAUGUCAAAAGUUUCCUCCCAAGAGUAAUAACUUAGAUUCUAAGACUUAAGAAUCAAUGUACAAGGAUGUGUAGUAAUAAUGUUACCUUUAUUGAUGCUUUCCAUGGAAAAUCAAGUGUAACCUGCCUUAAAUUUCCCCUCCCAAGUCCAAGAACACAAAAUGCAAAAAAUAAGGUUUUUAGGGUUAUUUCUGCAUAAAACCCCGAUUCUAUCACUAAAGCAACGCCACUACAAUCGUGACUAACCUCAUUGUAGAGGUCUGAUCCCCAAAUCAAAUGAAAUCGAUUAAUUUAAUCGGCUUGAUUUGAUUUUUUAAUAUGAAUUAAUUUUUACCCUGAUCGUAAACACCCCGCUGCCCGCCCCAAUGGAAACCAUCCUUCCUAUCAUCAUCAUAUAUCAUAUAUCAUAUAUCAUCAUAUCAUAUCAUAUAUAUAUUAUAAGUGGGAAGCUUCCAAGUUAAAAGUUGAAUUACAAAAAUACCCUUCAACUAAAAAAAAAGAUAUUUUUAAUAAAUGGUUGUAAUAUAAUUUUAUACUUAUUAAGCUUUAAUUGUUUUGUAUAAUAAAAUAAUAAACGGAAAAUGAAAAAACCAAGGAGACGAUGAUCAGAUGAUAAUUUUUUAUACUUAAAAACUUUUGAUUUUGUGUUAGAGAAAAGAACCCUUUCCUUUCUUCAUUUAUUUUUUUAAAAAUAGACCAAUAACUCUAUAAAUUAUCUAAUCUUUCCUCUUCCCCAAUACCAAUAACUCUCUAAAUUAUCUAAUCUUUCCUCUUCCCAAUUUAUUACUCAGUUAAAUCGUAAGUUAAUAUAAUUAUAUAUAUUGAAUGAAAGAUGAAACAACUUCCUGAAUAUACCGUUCAUAUUCCUUUUUUGCACUUAGUAUAAUUUAUAUAAAUGCAUAUUAUCAUAUAAGGUAAUAGGACUGCUUCACUUCAGUUGCAACUUAAUAUUAUGAUAUAUUUUUUUGCCUCAUAUUCUUCGUAUUGCUUUCAUUUAUUUUUUUUCUAUUUCAUGUCUAAUGUAGUGUAUUUCUUUGCUUAUAACAGUUAGGUGAAUAAUUUUUCUUCCAUAUUAUUCUCAUUUGUAAAUCAUAAGGUGUGUGCGUUCAUAUUCUCAUUCAUUCCUGAUUUUUUUAAUAAUGUAGAUGCAUUCUUAGUUUGAAUUUAUUUUUACUAUUUAUUAAGUUUCGUAAUUGGAGUGGUAGUUCCUUCAAAGAAAUAUUAGUAAAUGACAUUUCAAAUAUCGUGAAAAAGAUAUUUAGAGUUGAUUUAUAUUGUAAGCACAUUUGAAUGUUGCAUAUGAUUAUGGUAGUCCCCCUUUCUCAUUUUCUAUCUCCAUUUUCACUCUUAAAAAGAUAAAAAUGAUUUCUUUCCUAAUGUAAUCACCAUUCUUUUGCCUUCUUUUUUCAUAUAAAAGUGAUAGUCAAUUCAUGAUUUUAUAAAAAGAACUACAAAAAUGGAUACGAGGAGAGAAAUGUGAAAUAUAUAUUUUGCACUUGAAAUAGGUAAUUGAUAUAUGUCGUGUCAAACAAAUAGUUAAUUUAAUUUGUAGUUUUAGUGAUAAAGUUUGAUUAAUUUUUAGAGUGUGUAAUUUAUUUUCACCAUUAUAAAUUAAUUACAUACGCUUUAAAUUCAUUGUAAUACAAUGUAAAUUACCUUGGUUAUUAUUAAUUAUUUCUAUUUUUCAUCUUCCUAUGUAUUAACUUUUCUCAUAAUCUAUUUAUUUUCCUUUGCCUCAAAACAUUGCUGUCAGAUAUAUAUAAGUUACUGAUAUUAUUUUGUUUCUUUUUGUUGUCUACUCUUUACCAUGCUACCAUAUCUUAUGUGUCAAUUUAGCUAUCAAACUUUUUUCAGGUAGAAUAUUAAUGACCCAUGAAAUUUAUUCUUGAAAAGCUCGGUGUUUUCGAAGUUAUUUCCUAAUCUAUUUUCCAAGUUAUUAUAUAGAUCUUAAGAUUAUUGAAUACUUAUUUGUUAAAUUGAAGCAAAUUACUCUGUCAUGAAUUUUAUUACAUCUACAUUUUUAUCUAUUGUACUUAAAUUUGACCUUUUUAUAGCAAGGGUAAAACUUAUCUGCACCGAAUGUAUACACCAAAUCAAUACAUGCAUGCUAUGUGUUUAAAUUUAUAGUUUAUUUUACUUAACUAUAAUUAAUUAACAUAUAUUUUACUUCAUCAAAUCACGUAAUAAUGAAAAUUGCAUUAGUUGAGUGCAUAUAUUCGGUGCGAAUACGUUUUUUCCUAUAUAUAAACACAUUUAUGUAAUGAGAAAUAGACAAUGUAACAAAGAAAAUUACAAGUUUAUUUUGUAGAAUAGUCUAGGUGUUCUUAUAAUGCAAAUGUGCUAUAUCUAUAUAUAAUAUAAUAGUGUUGUUCUGCCACAAAAUUAAGGGAAAAUGAUGAAAUUACAUCUCAUCAGAGGGUUUUUUUUUUUUUUGGCAACCAAUGUGAAAAUUACCAUUAACAAACAAACAAAACUUACAAACUAAGAGCAUUUCAACCUCAGUACCUUAACUGGUAUUAGAGGAGUGACCUCAUCAACUCAAACUACUUACAUAAAUUCUACCAAAAACUCCUACAUCUAUGUGCUCUUUUGGUAUUCUUAUGCAUGUCUAUCCUCGCUAUAAGUUCUCGAAUUAUUCCCUCCACUAUGUCAGUAUACUGUAUUUGUACUCCUUUGAAAUGCUUCCAAUUCCUUGCCUUCCAGAUGUGAUACACUAUUGCUCCCCAAAUAGCAGUCACCACCUCUUUCUUAAACUUCUUCCAAUGCUUCAACUUUAUCAUCUCCAAUGUAGUUUUUAACUCUUUUGCGGGAAUAAAGAUGUUGGCCCAUUGUAGUAAUUUAGCUCUCACCUUUGCAACAUAUUCACACUCUACAAACAUGUGCUUGUACGACUCUAUCAUUCCAUUUUGACACAGGCAGCAGCUAUUGUCUUCUACAUAUACUCCCAUAUUUAUCAACCUAUCCUUUGUGAGCAAUCUAUUUUGCAUUGCUAGCCACAAAAAGAACCUCUGCCUAAGUAAUACGACAGAGUUCCAAACUAAUUCAGCUACCUCAAGUUUCUCUUGAUUGCCUAUCAGAUCAUUAUAUCCACUUGUAAUUGAAUACUCCCCAUUUGUUGUAAGGUUGAACUGCCCUUACGUAUACCAUUGUUGCAUCAUAUUUUUCAGGGAGUUUAUUUUCCUCCAGUACCAACUACUAUCAACUGGUGCUUUGUGAGUCCAGACUGUAUCAGUUUUUAUGUAAAUCCCAUGCACCCAUUUCACCCAUAAGGAUUCCUUCCUCAUAACCAAUUGCCAUAAGAGCUUUCCAACAAUGGCUACAUUCCAUUUACCACAUCCUUUUAUAUUAAGUCCGCCCUGCUUCUUUGGAUAACAUAUUUUCUCCCAAGAAACCAAUGACACUUUCCUUUUUUCCUCAUUGCCUCCCCACAAAUAUUCUCUGCAUUUCUUGUCCACCUCUUUCACUACACUCUGAGGUAGGAUGAACACUGAGCCCCAAAAACUGUGUAUGGAGAACAAGACUGCCAAGAUCACUUGAAGUCUGCCUGCAUAGGAAAGUUGUUUUGCAUAGGUGUACUUGAUCCUGCUUGUUAUUUUAUCAACUAGUUGAUGGCAUUCCAUUUUUCCCCACCUUUUUGAUCUCAUCAGAGAGUUAUUAUUAAUAAAACACGAUCGGAUGUAUACACCCAAUUAAUACAAUUUCUAUUAUUUCAUGAUUUAAUGAAGCAAUUAUUUCGUAAUUUAAUGAAGCAAAACAUAUGUUAAUUAAUUAUGGUUAAGUAAAAUGAACUAUAAAUUUAAACACAUGACAUGCAUAUAUACACCCAAUGUAUACACCCGAUGUAGUGGACUCAUUUUAGGAUGCUUGGAGUCAUGUGACUUGCACAUAGAUGGGUCUGUUAAUGAUUUUAACAGAAGUUUCAUGAAGGAUGGAAUUUGCUAAGUUUUGAAUACAUUAAGGAUGAUUUUUGUUCAAUAUGAUAGUUGAAAGAUGUACAUUAAGUUUUGGUUAUAGAUAAAGAUGUUUUUGGUCAAAAACUCAAUAAAAGUAAUAUAAGUAGCAAAUCCUAGCAGGUUCUCUCACUCUUGCCUCUUUUUCUUCUCUCUAGCCUACAUUUAGGGUUUGUUGAUCGGUUCACAAUUCUCCUUCAAAGAUGAUCGUUUUGAGGAGCUCCGACGGAGAGACCUUUGAGGUCGAUGAGGCGGUGGCGCUAGAAUCGCCGACCAUUAAGCAUAUGAUAGAGGACGACUGCACUGACACCAGCAUCUCUCUACCCAACGUUACUAGCAAGAUCUUAGUCAAGGUCAUCGAAUACUGCAAGCGCCAUGUGGAGGUUCCUAAAGCUGAGGAUAAGACCGCCGAAGUGGAUCUCAAGACUUUCGAUGCUGAAUUCGUCAAAGUUGAUCAGAGCACCCUUUACGAUCUCAUGCUGGUAUGGAUCUUUUUAAAUCUAUAUGUAUAUCUUAGUUGAUUCGUAUGUGUUUUUGAUUACGAUGAUCCGAUGGUUCAAUUAUUAGUGUGCAGGAUUGCUGAUUCUUUAAUUAAUUUAUCUAAAUAACUAGAAAGAGGCAAAAGUCAUAUAACUUUUUUAUAUUCUAAAAUUAUAGUUGGAUGAAAUAUGUGACUCCUAUGGUAGAAAUGUCAUAUAGAAGCCAAGGGUGUGGCUUGGUGGUCAAUGAAAUGGUUGAGAGCCAUCAGAGGUUCAAUUCAGUGGAGACAAAAAACAUUAGGUGGUUCAUCCCAUCUAUCCUAGCUUCACCUGGUAUUUGUUGUUGAUGGGAGGUGGUAGAAAUCCCAUCGAAUUAGUCGAGGUGCGUGAAAGCCGACCAAGACACCACGUACAUCCAGUAAAGUGUCAAAGCAGUAGCAAAUAAGAGAAGAGCAGUAUCAAAACCAAAAAGAACGAAUGUUUCUAUAUUUGGAAGUUCUUUAAUUUUUCCAUUUACCCUUAGUGACAUUCUCUUAUAGGCAAUGAUAAUGUCAUUUAGUGACAUGUUUAGAUCACAUGUUCCAACUAAAAAGUACUUUCUAUGUGUUAGAACUUCCUUUAUCUUUAUUAAAUUCCAUUCCCAGUCAAGCACCACCUCCAUAUAAAAUUAACCAGAAGAUUAUUAGUUUUCUGUGAUCAGUUUGGUAAUUUUUUGUUAGGUUUUGUUUAUCUUGUGAAUCUAUGGUAGUUUGUCAAUUCACCUUUUACUUCUGGCUACCAUUGCCUAUCGACAUCGCUUUUGUUUGCUGUCUCUUCCAUAGACUGAGUUUCCGCUCUAGUUUGCUCCUGUUUAAGCUUCAAUGGUAAUAUACAUUUAGUUUAUUAGGGCGGUCACGAAUAAAUUAAUCAAUCAAUUAUGUCUCAGUCCCAAACUAAAUCAUUUCUUCCAUAUCCUUUCUGCUUUAUUUGGCUCCAAGGACAUGUCUAUGUGUAGUUGUUUUGUUGUAGUAAACAAUAAACUGCAGUUGGUUGUAGUUGUUUGAAGUAAUGAAAUGGCGUUUGACUGCUACUUCUAUAGUUCUAUUAGUCUGUUAUGUUUGGCAAAAAACAAUUCCCUUUGUCAUGGUUAAGUGAACUUUCUUUUGCUUAGUACAACAGUAUAGUACUAUAGUGGCUCAUUCUAAAACAAUGGGUAAGAACUAAGAAGAUUUGCUGUAACACUAAAAUUGAAAAUAAAACUAAAACAUAGUAACAUACUUGUAAUUGUAAAAUUAGAGUGAAGCAUAUAUUUUACCUUUAGAACAUGUAGUCAUACUUUAGUUUGUUGCCUAUUUUAAGAAAUAAAUGCUAUAUGGACAUGUUUGCAGCACAUUUUGUUUACAUGUUUGAUGUGCCUCUCUGUUCCACCUCCUGAGUUCUUGCCUGGGUAUUUUGAAUCUGUAGAGUGGCUAACAAUUGUUGAAUGUGUUUUUAAUUGUUAAAUUUUGCUGUUUCUUUUAAGCUUACUUGUAGGUUUCCAUUUCUUUUUAGUUAUUGCUAUUAGCAUUUAAUGAUUUACAAUGGACCCUCCCUCUUAGUAUCUAAUUUUCUCAAGUUUGUAGAGAUUUUCUUUUACCUUUUUCUGUUGAGAGCUUGUAUUUGAUGUUUACUGUGUUUAGGUGAUCUCACCCUAUGGCUGUUGUUACUGUUCCUUGCAUAUAGUUCUUUGCUAUUCGUUGCUAUGUUUCUCCACCUAUUUUUUCGUUUUAUUACUGCUUGGAGUUGCUUGAGCCGAGGGUCUUUCGGAAACAGCCUGCGUACACUUUACCCUCCCAAACCCCACUUUGUGGGAUUUCACUUGGUAUGUUGAUGUUGAGAGCUUGUAUAGAGGUUAAGUAUCCUUUGCGUUGUCUCUUUUCAGGCUGCCAACUAUUUAAACAUAAAGAGCUUGCUAGAUCUGACAUGUCAGACAGUAGCAGACAUGAUCAAGGGAAAGACGCCUGAGGAGAUAAGCAAGACAUUCGACAUCAAGGAUGACUUGACUCCUGAGGAAGAGGAAGAAUUCAGGAGGGAGAAUGC